rnacentral:rRNA from 1 species
ACGGCCAUAUUAGGCUGAAAGCACCGUAUACCGCCUGCUCUGCGAAGAUAAGCAGCCUCAAACUCGGGUAGUACUCCGGUGGGUAACCACAGGAGAAGUCCGACUCUUUCUACU